AUUGAACGCUGGCGGCAUGCUUUACACAUGCAAGUCGAACGGUAACAGGCCGCAAGGUGCUGACGAGUGGCGAACGGGUGAGUAAUGCAUCGGAACGUGCCCAGUCGUGGGGGAUAACGCAGCGAAAGCUGUGCUAAUACCGCAUACGAUCUAUGGAUGAAAGCGGGGGACCGUAAGGCCUCGCGCGAUUGGAGCGGCCGAUGUCAGAUUAGGUAGUUGGUGGGGUAAAGGCCUACCAAGCCGACGAUCUGUAGCUGGUCUGAGAGGACGACCAGCCACACUGGGACCGAGACACGGCCCAGACUCCUACGGGAGGCAGCAGUGGGGAAUUUUGGACAAUGGGCGCAAGCCUGGUCCAGCAAUGCCGCGUGCAGGAAGAAGGCCUUCGGGUUGUAAACUGCUUUUGUACGGAACGAAACGGUCUGGGUUAAUACCCUGGGCUAAUGACGGUACCGUAAGAAUAAGCACCGGCUAACUACGUGCCAGCCGCCGCAGUAA
rnacentral:rRNA from 1 species